AACGGCACUAGCGAGGUCUCCUUGUCCACUGUGAGACCCAGCAGGCAACCAUCCAUUGCCUCUAUUUGGACUGUCGGCCUUGCAUUCGUACGAAAGACCUCUAUGGAUGUUGGAAGCAUGGCUGGUGGGUUUCUCGUGCACAGCGUUUUUAGAAUCAGGGUGUUUUCGUUCGGCGACCGAUCUCAAAUGAUUACUUGCAUUCGAAAUCGUCGUACAUGCGACGGCAUCCGGGUUGGCAGGUGACUCAACGGCCGGCUGGAGGGACGAGUUUCUCUCAGGAGCUGUGAUUUCCUGGAAAAGCGCUGUCCCUGUUGUAGACCUUUUGGCAUGAGAGUUUUCUUUUUUCAGGCUACCGCAUCUACCACCACUGCAGGCGGCCGGUGAUGCCGCCUCCCUUCGUCCGGAGACGUGAAACUGACGCGAGGUCGACCGCAGGCUUUGCAGGCAACGACCGCCCGUGAGGAGCGUCGGGCACAGCUCUAAAUCAUUUUUUUUCGAGAGAUUGAUGGGGGUUUGCCCUUUCAAAUUCCAACUCGACGCGUCGGUCAUAGCGAGCUUAUGUAGGCCUGGGGGAGGCGGCGGGGGUGGCGGUGGCUGGUUCGCUGUGCAACUCUUGGUUCUAAACUGAGAUCCCCCUCCUUCCGGAAGGAGCGCCGGAAGACUAUCAGGGCUUCCUACUACGGACCUGGGUCCUUCCACUGCGGUAAAACAACCCGGGAAAAACGGUGUUCUGAGGGCAGGCGGCAUUGGCAAUCUGAUAGGUACAUGGGGGCGCAGCCCGUUGCCUCGAUGAGCACUCCCUGGAUGAAGAAAAGGGGCGAAAUGGGGGUCAGGGCAGGAGAAGGAGACGGGAGAGACACCGUCAGGGGAGGACUGAUGUUUCUGUUGUGCACGUGAUUUGCGGGCUCGUUUCCGCUUCUCCUUGUGAAAGUGGUGACAAAACAGACACGCCAUACCAUUCAAACAUUGCUUGUUCGCUUUGUUUGCAAACACACACGGUUUGCACAGCCCUUCCUCGUGGAGCAACGCCCCCAGAGAAGGAAGCUUCCCUCUGUAACUUUCCAGAUCGUCGGCUGCAACUUGUCGUGAUUUUAGAAUAUCGUGGAGAAUCAGAGCAGCAUUACACCCGUCAGGCCCAUGGCCGCUCUCGCAACCGCCCUCUGGAUCACCUUCAUCCUCUGCAUUUUCUUGUUGCUUCACGGACGUCAGAAGCCCUUCGCCUUGGCUGCGCUCCAAAGGAGCGGUGGUCCUCGAACUCGAACCCGACCCGGCUUUGCUGGCCAGCUCCGUCAGUCUUUCCCUCAGCAGCGUUUUCAAAUUCUCCAUGGAUAUCCACUCUCUGUUGUGCACUGCAGUGCUUUCGUCAGAACCCCCACAUUGACCGUUUUGUGGGAUAACCCCAUUUGCUGAAGUUGACUCGACGGCUGUUUCUGUCACCAGCGG
rnacentral:lncRNA from 1 species